rnacentral:rRNA from 1 species
AUACGUAGGGUGCAAGCGUUAAUCGGAAUUACUGGGCGUAAAGCGUGCGUAGGCGGUUUUGUAAGACAGUGGUGAAAUCCCCGGGCUCAACCUGGGAACUGCCAUUGUGACUGCAAGGCUGGAGUGCGGCAGAGGGGGAUGGAAUUCCGCGUGUAGCAGUGAAAUGCGUAGAUAUGCGGAGGAACACCGAUGGCGAAGGCAAUCCCCUGGGCCUGCACUGACGCUCAUGCACGAAAGCGUGGGGAGCAAACAGGAUUAGAUACCCUGGUAGUCCACGCCCUAAACGAUGUCAACUGGUUGUUGGGGAUUUAUCUUCUCAGUAACGAAGCUAACGCGUGAAGUUGACCGCCUGGGGAGUGCGGCCGCAAGGUUAAAACUUAAAGGAAUUGACGGGG